UGGGGGACAACGUUUCGAAAGGAACGCUAAUACCGCAUACGUCCUACGGGAGAAAGCAGGGGACCUUCGGGCCUUGCGCUAUCAGAUGAGCCUAGGUCGGAGUUAGCUAGUUGGUGAGGUAAUGGCUCACCAAGGCGACGAUCCGUAACUGGUCUGAGAGGAUGAUCAGUCACACUGGAACUGAGACACGGUCCAGACUCCUACGGGAGGCAGCAGCU
rnacentral:rRNA from 1 species